rnacentral:rRNA from 1 species
CCGCCAGAGGAUUACAAGUAAAAACUUAAAACUCAAAGGACUUGACGGUGUCCCAUAUCGACCUAGAGGAGCCUGUCCUAUAAUCGAUACCCCCCGUUCCACCCAACCUCAACUAGCAAAAUAACAGCCUAUAUACCGCCGUCGAUCAGCCUACCCCGUGAGGUCCAAUAGUAGACAUAAUAACCUAUACCGCUAAUACGUCAGGUCAAGGUGUAGCAAAUGUUGAGGAAGAGAUUGGCUACAUUUUUUAAUAUAAAAAACACGAAAAGCACCAUGAAACCGUGCAUGAAGGUGAAUUUAGUAGUAAAAU